GGCCUCAUAGUUCAGCUGUAGGACAUGCGCGUACAAAGCGUAGGCGGCGCCCAUACGUGGGUUCAAAUCCCACCGAGGCUA
rnacentral:tRNA from 1 species